rnacentral:rRNA from 1 species
UACGAAGGGGGCUAGCGUUGCUCGGAAUCACUGGGCGUAAAGCGCACGUAGGUGGCUUGUUAAGUUAGAGGUGAAAGCCCCGCGCUCAACGUGGGAACUGCCUUUAAAACUGGCGAGCUUGAGAGUAUCAGAGGAAGGCGGAAUUACUGGUGUAGAGGUAAAAUUCAUAGAUAUCAGUAGGAACAUCCAUGGCGAAGGCAGCUUCUGGGAUACAUCUGACACUGAGAG